rnacentral:rRNA from 1 species
UACGUAGGGUGCGAGCGUUAAUCGGAAUUACUGGGCGUAAAGGGUGCGCAGGCGGCGUCGCAAGUCAGGCGUGAAAUCCCCGGGCUUAACCUGGGAACUGCACUUGAAACUACGAUGCUGGAGUAUGGCAGAGGGAGGUGGAAUUCCGACGUGUAGCGGUGAAAUGCGUAGAGAUGUGGAGGAACACCGAUGGCGAAGGCAGCCUCCUGGGCCAAUACUGACGCUCAUGCACGAAAGCGUGGGGAGCAAACAGG